AUUGAACGCUGGCGGCAGGCCUAACACAUGCAAGUCGAGUGGAUGAGAGGAGCUUGCUCCUCGAUUCAGCGGCGGACGGGUGAGUAAUGCCUAGGAAUCUGCCUAGUAGUGGGGGACAACGUUUCGAAAGGAACGCUAAUACCGCAUACGUCCUACGAGAGAAAGUGGGGGAUCUUCGGACCUCACGCUAUUAGAUGAGCCUAGGUCGGAUUAGCUAGUUGGUAGGGUAAAGGCCCACCAAGGCGACGAUCCGUAACUGGUCUGAGAGGAUGAUCAGUCACACUGGAACUGAGACACGGUCCAGACUCCUACGGGAGGCAGCAGUGGGGAAUAUUGGACAAUGGGCGAAAGCCUGAUCCAGCCAUGCCGCGUGUGUGAAGAAGGCCUUCGGGUCGUAAAGCACUUUAAGUUGGGAGGAAGGGCUCAUAGCGAAUACCUGUGAGUUUUAACGUUACCAACAGAAUAAGCACCGGCUAACUUCGUGCCAGCAGCCGCGGUAA
rnacentral:rRNA from 1 species